UCCUCGAUAGCUCAACGGUAGAGCAAUCGGCUGUUAACCGAUAGGUUGCUGGUUCGAAUCCAGCUCGGGGAG
rfam:Dehalobacter sp. CF, complete genome.